CCGUUUCCCUGCACAAUCAACAUGUAUUAUUUCCUCUUUAUGGCUGAAAUACGUAUAAUAAGAGACACCUAGACCUAUUGAUGUAUACUUUAGAGCACGGAGAUAGCUUUGAGACCAUGGAAAUACACAUAGAAAAGAAAAAUAAAGAGAAAUAAGGAAAGAAAAGACAACCAGUGGCAAGACUCAGACCAUUUCCCCGGAGACUCAACAUGGCUGUGUGGCGAGAGAGGCUUCGUGUGGUCCCGGGAGGAAGCAACUCAACGCCUGAUGCAGCACAGUGUUAGUAUUGCCUGAGAGGAUUUGGACCACCAGCGUGAUAAUGCACUACCUGAGAAGACCAGCCUGCCCCUCUCUUUGGACACACAUGAUGGUUGCAGAGAGGUGGACAUGUGGACCCGGGAGAGCAUUGACCUCCUCCUGUGGGUCAUAUUUACCUGCGGAUGACUGGCCAGCUUGAGGGGCGGGAUAUAGCUUGGCGGGACACGCAUAAUAACACUACAUCAUAUCCUCACCGUGACCUCCUUGGCAGCUGUGAGUGUUUGGGUCAGCACGGGAGCCACCAGUCAGCAGGGCGGCAGAUAAGGAGCAUAUGAAGGCCCUCGCCCCUCACCGUGACCUCCUUGGCAGCUGUAAGCACGGGAGCCAUCUGUCAGCAGGGCGGCAGAUAAGGAGCAUAUGAAGGCCCUCGCCCCUCACCGUGACCUCCUUGGCAGCUGUAAGCACGGGAGCCAUCUGUCAGCAGGGCGGCAGAUAAGGAGCAUAUGAAGGCCCUCGCCCCUCACCGUGACCUCCUUGGCAGCUGUAAGCACGGGAGCCAUCUGUCAGCAGGGCGGCAGAUAAGGAGCAUAUGAAGGCCCUCGCCACAGAACGCACCUCUCAUUAACAGGUGUGGAGCUGGAGUCUGUCGUCCCGCUCCCGUGUCACAGCGCUCAAAGCAGCAGCUUCCACUUCCUGGAUGGUUGCGUCCUGGCACCCUGCUGUGGGACAAGCCAGCCGCCAGUGACCCGUCGGGUACAACCUGUGAAACAGAAGAACAGCUGAGGAGCAACUUUGAAUGCUUGGAGGACAAUAAAUAAAAAUGUAAGGGACAC